rnacentral:lncRNA from 1 species
AUACUCUUUCUGAUUCGGCUGCCACCAAUUGGGUCGUCUUGAGUGUGGGUCCGGCGUCCCUAGUGACAGAUCUUAGGAUUUGGGUACAAGGCAUUAGACCCAUCGACUUCAAACUUCUUCGUCUCCAUUAUCUUCCCCGAGAAUGAAUACUGGAGCUUCAGCCGAUCAGGCGGUAAACACCGUUACUUCGCUGUUGGCAGCCUUGGCGCUUGCACCAGCGCCUACGGUCGCUUCACCCAAUCAGCCUUCUGGGUCUCAACCUCGGGCUGUCCCUAUUCCUACUGCCGUGGAUCCGGCGCCGCUUCCUUCGCCGGUCAACGGUGACACUACAAUGUCCGAUUCACAGCCGGGAAUUGUUACUCGGUGCCUGCACCCCUUCGAUCCUCCGCAGCCCGACAGACGUCGCCUUGUUUCAGUGGACACUGCGGCAAAGGUGCAAUUGAGUUUGCCCGACUACAUUUCUUUCCUGGUCGACGAUUUGGUUGGCUACCUCGACUUGGCAGGCUAUACUCUUUCUGAUUCGGCUGCCACCAAUUGGGUCGUCUUGAGCAUGGGUCCAGCGUCCCUAGUGACAGAUCUUAGGAUUUGGGUACAAGGCAUUAGAUCCAUCGACUUCAAACUUCUUCGUCUCCAUUAUCUUCCCCGAGAAUGAAUACUGGAGCUUCAGCCGAUCAGGCAGUAAACACCGUUACUUCACCGUUGGCGGCCUUGGCACUUGCACCGGCGCCUACGGUCGCUUCACCCAAUCAGCCUUCUGGGUCUCAACCUCGGGCUGUCCCUAUUCCUACUGCCGUGGAUCCGGCACCGCUUCCUUCACCGGUCAACGGUGACACUACAAUGUCCGAUUCACAGCCGGGCACUGUUACUUGGCACCUGCACCCCUUCGAUCCUCCGCAGCCCGACAGACGUCGCCUUGUUUCAGUGGACGCUGCAGCAAAGGUGCAAUUGAGUUUGCCCGACUACAUUUCUUUCCUGGUCGACGAUUUGGUUGGCUACCUCGACUUGGCAGGCUAUACUCUUUCUGAUUCGGCUGCCACCAAUUGGGUCGUCUUGAGUGUGGGUCCGGCGUCCCUAGUGACAGAUCUUAGGAUUUGGGUACAAGGCAUUAGACCCAUCGACUUCAAACUUCUUCGUCUCCAUUAUCUUCCCCGAGAAUGAAUACUGGAGCUUCAGCCGAUCAGGCGGUAAACACCGUUACUUCGCUGUUGGCAGCCUUGGCGCUUGCACCGGCGCCUACGGUCGCUUCGCCCGAUCAGCCUUCUGGGUCUCAACCUCGGGCUGUCCCUAUUCCUACUGCCGUGGAUCCGGUGCCGCUUCCUUCGCCGGUCAACGGUGACGCUACAAUGUCCGAUUCACAGCCGGGCACUGUUACUGGGCGCCUGUGCCCCCUCGAUCCUCUGCAGCCCGACAGACGUCGCCUUGUUUCAGUGGACGCUGCGGCAAAGGUGCAAUUGAGUUUGCCCGACCACAUUUCUUUCCUGGUCGACGAUUUGGUUGGCUACCUCGACUUGGCAGGCUAUACUCUUUCUGAUUCAGCUGCCACCAAUUGGGUCAUCUUGAGCGUGGGUCCGGCGUCCCUAGUGACAGAUCUUAGGAUUUGGGUACAAGGCAUAAGACCCAUCGACUUCAAACUUCUUCGUCUCCAUUAUCUUCCCCGAGAAUGAAUACUGGAGCUUCAGCCGAUCCGGCGGUAAACACCGUUACUUCACCGUUGGCGGCCUUGGCGCUUGCACCGGCGCCUACGGUCGCUUCACCCAAUCAGCCUUCUGGGUCUCAACCUCGGGCUGUCCCUAUUCCUACUGCCGUGGAUCCGGCACCGCUUCCUUCACCGGUCAACGGUGACACUACAAUGUCCGAUUCACAGCCGGGCACUGUUACUCGGCACCUGCACCCCUUCGAUCCUCCGCAGCCCGACAGACGUCGCCUUGUUUCAGUGGACGCUGCAGCAAAGGUGCAAUUGAGUUUGCCCGACUACAUUUCUUUCCUGGUCGACGAUUUGGUUGGCUACCUCGACUUGGCAGGCUAUACUCUUUCUGAUUCGGCUGCCACCAAUUGGGUCGUCUUGAGUGUGGGUCCGGUGUCCCUAGUGACAGAUCUUAGGAUUUGGGUACAAGGCAUUAGAUCCUUCGACUUCAAACUUCUUCGUCUCCAUUAUCCUCCCCGAGAAUGAAUACUGGAGCUUCAGCCGAUCAGGCGGUAAACACCGUUACUUCGCCGUUGGCACCUUGGUGCUUGCACCAGCGCCUACGGUCGCUUCGCCCGAUCAGCCUUCUGGGUCUCAACCUCGGGCUGUCCCUAUUCCUACUGCCGUGGAUCCGGCACCGCUUCCUUCGCCGGUCAACGGUGACACUACAAUGUCCGAUUCACAGCCGGGCACUGUUACUCGGUGCCUGCACCCCUUCGAUCCUCCGCAGCCCGACAGACGUCGCCUUGUUUCAGUGGACGCUGCGGCAAAGGUGCAAUUGAGUUUGCCCGACUACAUUUCUUUCCUGGUCGACGAUUUGGUUGGCUACCUCGACUUGGCAGGCUAUACUCUUUCUGAUUCGGCUGCCACCAAUUGGGUCGUCUUGAGUGUGGGUCCGGUGUCCCUAGUGACAGAUCUUAGGAUUUGGGUACAAGGCAUUAGAUCCAUCGACUUCAAACUUCUUCGUCUCCAUUAUCUUCCCCGAGAAUGAAUACUGGAGCUUCAGCCGAUCCGGCAGUAAACACCGUUUCUUCACCGUUGGCGGCCUUGGCGCUUGCACCGGCGCCUACGGUCGCUUCACCCAAUCAGCCUUCUGGGUCUCAACCUCGGGCUGUCCCUAUUCCUACUGCCGUAGAUCCGGCACCGCUUCCUUCGCCGGUCAACGGUGACACUACAAUGUCCGAUUCACAGCCGGGCACUGUUACUCGGUGCCUGCACCCCUUCGAUCCUCCGCAGCCCGACAGACGUCGCCUUGUUUCAGUGGAUGCUGCGGCAAAGGUGCAAUUGAGUUUGCCCGACUACAUUUCUUUCCUGGUCGACGAUUUGGUUGGCUACCUCGACUUGGCAGGCUAUACUCUUUCUGAUUCGGCUGCCACCAAUUGGGUCGUCUUGAGUGUGGGUCCGGCAUCCCUAGUGACAGAUCUUAGGAUUUGGGUACAAGGCAUUAGAUCCAUCGACUUCAAACUUCUUCGUCUCCAUUAUCUUCCCCGAGAAUGAAUACUGGAGCUUCAGCCGAUCAGGCGGUAAACACCGUUACUUCGCAGUUGGCGGCCUUGGCACUUGCACCGGCACCUACGGUCGCUUCGCCCGAUCAGCCUUCUGGGUCUCAACCUCAGGCUGUCCCUAUUCCUACUGCCGUGGAUCCGGCACCGCUUCUUUUUAUUCCGCUUUUUUUUCCUUUGCCGGUCAACGGUGACACUACAAUGUCCGAUUCACAGCCGGGCACUGUUACUCGGCGCCUGCACCCCCUCGAUCCUCCGCAGCCCGACAGACGUCGCCUUGUUUCAGUGGACGCUGCGGCAAAGGUGCAAUUGAGUUUGCCCGACUACAUUUCUUUCCUGGUCGACGAUUUGGUUGGCUACCUCGACUUGGCAGGCUAUACUCUUUCUGAUUCGGCUGCCACCAAUUGGGUCGUCUUGAGUGUGGGUCCGGCGUCCCUAGUGACAGAUCUUAGGAUUUGGGUACAAGGCAUUAGAUCCAUCGACUUCAAACUUCUUCGUCUCCAUUAUCCUCCCCGAGAAUGAAUACUGGAGCUUCAGCCGAUCAGGCGGUAAACACCGUUACUUCGCCGUUGGCACCUUGGUGCUUGCACCAGCGCCUACGGUCGCUUCGCCCGAUCAGCCUUCUGGGUCUCAACCUCGGGCUGUCCCUAUUCCUACUGCCGUGGAUCCGGCACCGCUUCCUUCGCCGGUCAACGGUGACACUACAAUGUCCGAUUCACAGCCGGGCACUGUUACUCGGUGCCUGCACCCCUUCGAUCCUCCGCAGCCCGACAGACGUCGCCUUGUUUCAGUGGACGCUGCGGCAAAGGUGCAAUUGAGUUUGCCCGACUACAUUUCUUUCCUGGUCGACGAUUUGGUUGGCUACCUCGACUUGGCAGGCUAUACUCUUUCUGAUUCGGCUGCCACCAAUUGGGUCGUCUUGAGUGUGGGUCCGGCAUCCCUAGUGACAGAUCUUAGGAUUUGGGUACAAGGCAUUAGAUCCAUCGACUUCAAACUUCUUCGUCUCCAUUAUCUUCCCCGAGAAUGAAUACUGGAGCUUCAGCCGAUCAGGCAGUAAACACCGUUACUUCACCAUUGGCGGC